GUGGGAGACUGUUGGAGGUAUGCCCUAGAGGCAAUCAUAGAGAUGAUGAUAUUCCAUUUGUAUCCAUGAUUUAUAUUGUGUUCCUUGAAUAUCCAUUAAACGCUACUUGAAUUGAUUUGCAAUUAUGUGAAUUGUGUGUGAAACUCUUUACUUAUAUGGUUAUUCAAAAGUUGUCCCUAGUAGAAGUUCAUGUGAGGACACACAUGAAUAUUAGACUAGCACAUGUAUUAGUUGAUGACUAUGUUUCACAAGUCAUGGACAUGGAG
rnacentral:lncRNA from 1 species